rnacentral:rRNA from 1 species
AUUGCCCUAGUAACGGCGAGUGAAGCGGCAAAAGCUCAAAUUUGAAAUCGGGUUCGCGCAGGCGGACGCCGAGUUGUACUUUGCAGAAGGUGCCUAGGGAGGGGUGCUCGGUGGAGUCCUUUGGGACAAGGCGCCGUAGUGGGUGAGAGCCCCAUGCGCCGAACCACCUCGCCCUGUCGGGCCCUUUCGACGAGUCGAGUUGCUUGGGAGUGCAGCUCUAAUUGGGAGGUAAAUUUCUUCUAAGGCUCAAUACCUGCCAGAGACCGAUAGCGCACAAGUAGAGUAAUCGAAAGAUGAAAAGCACUUUGGAAAGAGAGUGAAACAGUAUGUGAAAUUGUUGAAAGGGAAGCGUUUCUAGCUAGACGUGCUAGACGCAUUCCGCUGCGCGUUUCGCGUAGCGUGCUUGCUGUCUAGCAGGCCAGCAUCGGUGCAGGAAGCGAGAGACGCGUCCACUGGGAUGUAGCUCCCUGCGGGGAGUGUUAUACCUAGGGGCGGUCGUUGCUGCUUGCACCGAGGCUCGCGCUUCGGCGUGGAUGCUGGCACAAUGGCUACAAACGGCCCGUCUUGAAACACGGACCAAGGAGUCGAACGUCGGUGCGAGUAGUUGGGUCGCAAGCCCAAGUGCGUAAUCAACGUGAACGGAGGUCGGAUCUAGGGCGCGAGCCCUAGUGCACGAUCGACCGAUCCUGAAGCUCGCGGAUGGAUUUGAGUAGCAGCACCGCUGUUCGGACCCGAAAGAUGGUGAACUAUGCCUAAAUAGGGCGAAGCCAGAGGAAACUCUGGUGGAGGCUCGCAGCGGUUCUGACGUGCAAAUCGAUCGUCAAAUUUGGGUAUAGGGGCGAAAGACCAAUCGAACCAUCUAGUAGCUGGUUCCUGCCGAAGUUUCCCUCAGGAUAGCAGUAACGGCGUCCAGUUCUAUGAGGUAAAGCGAAUGAUUAGAGGCCUGGGGGCUGUAACAGCCUUCACCUAUUCUCAAACUU